rnacentral:snRNA from 13 species
AUACUUACCUGGCAAGGGAGACACCGUGAUCAAGAAGGCGGUUCACCCAGGGCGAGGCUCAGCCAUUGCACUCCGGCUGUGCUGACCCCUGCGAAUUUCUUAAAUGUGGAAAUCUCGAUUGCAUAAUUUCUGGUAGUGGGGGACUGCGUUCGCGCUCUCCCCUG